CCCACCCCAGGAAGAGUUGAAGUUGUGGCUGCUGUGUCACAUGAGUGCCAGUAGGUGACAGAAAGGAGAGAGGCUAUGUCUAGUCUCAAUGUUCUGGCCUAUGAACAUCUGAGCGACGAGUAUUCUAACAUU